UCCGCGACAGGAGAUGGCAUGCCUCCUUGUAACCGCCCUCGGGGCUGAUGAUGCCUACACGGAU
rnacentral:ncRNA from 2 species